GACAUGAUUCCAGGUGGUGGAAACUAGUAAAACUAAUGGAAACAAGUUUUAAAAAAUGCUUAGAAAUGAAGAACCCCUGACUGAAUGCCUAGUUUUGUAAAUUUAUUUAAAAAUUUUGAAUACCUUUUUACUUUGCUAGGCACUAGAGAUUUUCUCACUCACAAGAUGCUCAUACAUGUAUUUGGUGCUGUAAUGGAAGUUAUAUGCAAGAUGCCAUGAGAGUUAGAGAGAAAGGAGCAUCUUGGUUGCCUUUGAAAAAGAUUCUUUAUUUUCUGAUUUGGAAGCCUGGUUCAGAAACUUCAUGAGCCAUUAAUAUUUAUGUAGCUAAUAUCAGAUUUUGUGAAUUUCAAGCCUGCAUUUUUGCAGACCCAGCCUUAAUGCUACCACAGAAUCUUUAGAGUUAUGGGUGGGUGGCAGUGGGAAAACAUACUUCACUGUUACCAGGGAUGGGAAAGAUAUGAUUCAUUCAGAAAACAUGUUCAAUUUUUAGUGCACGCAUAUACCGAACGAUGGCUAUAGCUGUGCUCAGAACAUCAGUUUUCUUGGAACUGCUCUCACAUUGACUUCCUGCCAGGUCUCUCUGCUAAAAAUAUGUAUGCUCCCAGUUCAUUACCUUUUUGCCACAAUACUUUUGCCCUAUUAAAACUAUUUUGAAACUUUUUAGGUUGUAAGGCUUGUUCUGAAACUCAUAGAAGGGUUCUUAGAAUGGAUUGCAGUGUGUAUUCUGGAGUUUUGAUCAACACCUGGUUAUUUCUGACCAAACUGAUGUAAUGACCAAACUCAUG